CAGUCGCCGCGGGAAUACAGAGGUCCCGAGCGUUGUUCGGAUUCACUGGGCGUAAAGCGUGAGUAGGCGGCUUUUUAAGUCGGAUGUGAAAUCCCUGAGCUUAACUUAGGAAUUGCAUUCGAUACUGGGAAGCUAGAGUAUGGGAGAGGAUGGUAGAAUUCCAGGUGUAGCGGUGAAAUGCGUAGAGAUCUGGAGGAAUACCGAUGGCGAAGGCAGCCAUCUGGCCUAAUACUGACGCUGAGGUACGAAAGCAUGGGGAGCAAACAGGAUUAGAUACCCCCGUAGUCCCUGUCUCUUAUAC
rnacentral:rRNA from 1 species